UAGUUAUUUUCUUUAAACCUAAAGGAUUUGGCGGUAAUUUAGUCUAUUCAGAGGAACCUGUUCCGUAAUCGAUAGUCCUCGUUUUAUCUUUCUUUAAUUAGUUAAUCAGUAUGUAUACCGCCGUUAUAAGUUUAUUUUAUUAGAUUUUAUUUACUAGUAAUUUUAUUUUAUUUUAUUUCAGGUCAAGGUGCAGCUUAUAUUUAAGUGGAGAUGGGUUACAAUAUUUUAUAUAAACGGUUAUAUUAUUUAAAAAUUUUAUUUAAGGUGGAUUUGAAGGUAACGUUGCUUAUAGUUGUAAUUUGAACUUGGCUCUAAAUUAAGUACACAUCGCCCGUCGCUCUA
rnacentral:rRNA from 1 species